AAAGUUCUAAGAGUUCAAACUAAAAGGGACUUUAGAGACCAUAUAGUUCAAUUCCCUCAUUUUCUAGGUGGAAAAAUGGAGACUCAGGGACAGGAAAUGAUUUGUUCAGCAUUAGACUUAUAAGCUCCUUGAGAAUAGCAGCUUUGUAUAUGUAUCUCCAGGGCCUGGCACAUAGCAAGCAUUUAAUAAAUACCUAUUUACUGAUGGAUUGCUUGAUAGUAAGUUUAUCUCUUCCUGGCCUUUGUGGUGUGUAUGAAUUUGUCUGCCUUCUUACCAAUGAUACUGUCAUUGUUCUCAGCCCCUCCUCCCAGUUGGCAUCCUUGGAGUCCUCUUUACCUCCAUUCUUUCUCUUUAGAACACCUAAACCAAAGCCCUUGGAGAGACAGAGGGAUUGGUUGGAUGUCACAUCUGUGCCCUAGAAGGGAUACAUACGCAGAUGACUCUAUUAGGGGAUCCAAUGCUGGAGCCAGGUGGGGAGAUGGAAGUCUCAGAUGUCCUCCUGUGCUGUGUGGAGAAGAAAGAAGGAUCUCCUCAUAGCUGCAGCAGGAAUCUCCUGACUGUGUCUGUACUUUGGAACAGAAGCUGACGAAGAAACAAUGAGGAGUUAAAUGACUAUCCCAGGUUACACAUCUAGAAAGAGUACCAGAAUCAAAAGCAGGCAGUAAUCCCCACAAGACCUGGAGCCUAAUCCUUGGUGAUCUUAGAGUCAUGAUGUUACAGCCAACCAUCCCAGCAGGGAAAGAGUCGGAUGCUUGGAACUGGAGCCUGAAGGGGUUGACUUGAAUUUGAAACUUAGGAUCCUGCACUAUAGAACUGAGCUAAAGUGUAAAUUUAAUUUUUUUUCCCUCCCCAAAGACUGAAGUGGUACAAGAGAAAGCAUCAACAAGCUCUUCAUGUUAGAGGAAUAAAUUUGUAUCUAUGUAAUGAUA